rnacentral:rRNA from 1 species
GACGAACGCUGGCGGCGUGCUUAACACAUGCAAGUCGAACGGAAAGGCACUGCUUUUGUGGGGUGCUCGAGUGGCGAACGGGUGAGUAACACGUGAGUAACCUGCCCUUGACUUUGGGAUAACUUCAGGAAACUGGGGCUAAUCUCGGAUAGGAGCUCCUGCUGCAUGGUGGGGGUUGGAAAGUUUCGGCGGUUGGGGAUGGACUCGCGGGUUAUCAGCUUGUUGGUGGGGUAGUGGAUUACCAAGGCUUUGACGGGUAGCCCGCCUGGGAGGGGGACCGGCCACAUGGGGACUGCGAUACGGCGCAGACUCCUACGGUAGGCAGAAGUGGGGAAUAUUGCACAGUGGGCGGAAGCCGGAUGCAGCGACGCCGCGGUCGGGAUGACGUCCUUCGGGUUGUAAACCGCUUUCGCCUGUGACGAAGCUUUAGUGACGGUAAUGGGUAAAUAAGCACCGGCUAACUACGUG